UACGAAGGGGGCUAGCGUUGUUCGGAAUUACUGGGCGUAAAGCGUGCGCAGGCGGCCAUCCAAGUCAGUGGUGAAAGCCCGGAGCUCAACUCCGGAAUUGCCAUUGAAACUGUUUGGUUCGAGUACGAGAGAGGUGAGUGGAAUUCCGGGUGUAGCGGUGGAAUGCGUAGAGAUCCGGAAGAACACCGGUGGCGAAGGCGGUCUGCUGGGCAGUUGCUGACGCUGAUGCGCGACAGCGUGGGGAGCAAACAGG
rnacentral:rRNA from 1 species